GACGAACCGAGCGAACGUUGUUCGGAAUCACUGGGCUUAAAGGGCGCGUAGGCGGGUGCUCAAGUCCGUGGUGAAAUCCUCCGGCUCAACCGGAGAACUGCCUCGGAUACUGGGUGCCUCGAGGGUGGUAGGGGUAUGCGGAACUAUCGGUGGAGCGGUGAAAUGCGUUGAUAUCGAUAGGAACUCCGGUGGCGAAGGCGGCAUACUGGACCACCUCUGACGCUGAGGCGCGAAAAGCGUGGGGAGCGAAACAGG
rnacentral:rRNA from 1 species